CAUCAUCUCCUUUCUGUGUUGAGAUCCCUUCACCCAGCUCAUCUGAAAACAGUCGUCGAACGCGGAAGGGAAUCAGCCGAGAGAUACUCACUGACAACAUUGGCUUGUCCGGUGAAUAUGGUGUACUGGAGCUCGUAGGAGACCACGCUGAACUCGUCCUCUGAGGUCCAGUGGACGGUGAUGGUGUCGUAGGAAGCGGUGCAGAGCUCUUCUCUAAUCGCGGGAGGGUUGGGAGCUGUGGACAUCACACGCAUGUCAGCGGAGCAGCAGAUACCAUUAGGACGACAAUUUGGAGAUGCCACGGAAAAUAUUCCUGAGCUUUCUCAGAAAUUCCCCAGUCGGCACACAAUCUCGUCCCUACGCUCAGAUUUUCUUGCACCCACCUCUCAGUGAUAUUCUUUGCUGUCUGUAGAAAACGGGCGUGGUCAUUUUCCUUCAGCGAGUGCUCCGCUUGCGAGAUGAGCGAUGCAGACCUCUCAAGGCACUGUUUACAGUUUGCAAUCUGCUGAGCUAACUUGCGGAGCCUGAUCACCUGGAACGAGAGAAGCACGGCGGGCGAGGUCACACGUUAAGGAUCGAUCGCUUGGGAGGUGGCUCAGGGCUGAACCCUUCAGAGGCGUGAUUAAAAACACAUCGUUCAUUCUAAAGGUUUUUCCUCUGAGGCUAUUUGGAGAUUAACGGUGAUGUUUAAGGACAAGAAGAAUAACCGAAACAGGAGAUAUUGAUGUAAAAGAAAUUGAGAGCAUACUGUGAAACUGCCACGAUCUUCUCGAGUGGACUUCCAUGUAGAGCGUACUUUUCAUUACAGGUCUGUGUCCUCUUCUGCAAAACGAAUCUUACCGGAAAUUAGAUAAUGCUGCUG
rnacentral:lncRNA from 1 species